rnacentral:rRNA from 1 species
GGCGAACGGGUGAGUAACACGUAGGUGAUCUACCUUGAGGCUGGGGAUAGCCUGUGGAAACACAGGGUAAUACCGAAUAAGCUGGUUGGAGUAAAGACCGAUCAGGAAAGGCGCGAUUGCGCCACCUUAGGAUGAGCCUGCGGCUCAUUAGUUAGUUGGUAGGGUAACGGCCUACCAAGGCGACGAUGGGUAGGGGGUCUGAGAGGAUGGCCCCCCACACUGGGACUGAGACACGGCCCAG